GAUGAACGCUGGCGGCGUGCUUAACACAUGCAAGUCGAACGGAAAGGCUCCUGCUUGCAGGGGUACUCGAGUGGCGAACGGGUGAGUAACACGUGGGUGAUCUGCCCUGCACUUCGGGAUAAGCCUGGGAAACUGGGUCUAAUACCGGGUAGGACCACAUUUUGGAUGGUGUGGUGGAAAGUUUUUCGGUGUGGGAUGAGCUCGCGGCCUAUCAGCUUGUUGGUGGGGUAAUGGCCUACCAAGGCGUCGACGGGUAGCCGGCCUGAGAGGGUGUACGGCCACAUUGGGACUGAGAUACGGCCCAGACUCCUACGGGAGGCAGCAGUGGGGAAUAUUGCACAAUGGGCGCAAGCCUGAUGCAGCGACGCCGCGUGGGGGAUGACGGCCUUCGGGUUGUAAACUCCUUUCGCUAGGGACGAAGCGUUUUUGUGACGGUACCUGGAGAAGAAGCACCGGCUAACUACGUG
rnacentral:rRNA from 1 species